rnacentral:rRNA from 1 species
CCACUUACAGAUGGACCCGCGGCGCAUUAGCUAGUUGGUGAGGUAACGGCUCACCAAGGCGACGAUGCGUAGCCGACCUGAGAGGGUGAUCGGCCACACUGGGACUGAGACACGGCCCAGACUCCUACGGGAGGCAGCAGUAGGGAAUCUUCCGCAAUGGACGAAAGUCUGACGGAGCAACGCCGCGUGAGUGAUGAAGGUUUUCGGAUCGUAAAGCUCUGUUGUUAGGGAAGAACAAGUGCCGUUCAAAUAGGGCGGCACCUUGACGGUACCUAACCAGAAAGCCACGGCUAACUACGUGCCAGCAGCCGCGGUAAUACGUAGGUGGCAAGCGUUGUCCGGAAUUAUUGGGCGUAAAGGGCUCGCAGGCGGUUUCUUAAGUCUGAUGUGAAAGCCCCCGGCUCAACCGGGGAGGGUCAUUGGAAACUGGGGAACUUGAGUGCAGAAGAGGAGAGUGGAAUUCCACGUGUAGCGGUGAAAUGCGUAGAGAUGUGGAGGAACACCAGUGGCGAAGGCGACUCUCUGGUCUGUAACUGACGCUGAGGAGCGAAAGCGUGGGGAGCGAACAGGAUUAGAUACCCUGGUAGUCCACGCCGUAAACGAUGAGUGCUAAGUGUUAGGGGGUUUCCGCCCCUUAGUGCUGCAGCUAACGCAUUAAGCACUCCGCCUGGGGAGUACGGUCGCAAGACUGAAACUCAAAGGAAUUGACGGGGGCCCGCACAAGCGGUGGAGCAUGUGGUUUAAUUCGAAGCAACGCGAAGAACCUUACCAGGUCUUGACAUCCUCUGACAAUCCUAGAGAUAGGACGUCCCCUUCGGGGGCAGAGUGACAGGUGGUGCAUGGUUGUCGUCAGCUCGUGUCGUGAGAUGUUGGGUUAAGUCCCGCAACGAGCGCAACCCUUGAUCUUAGUUGCCAGCAUUCAGUUGGGCACUCUAAGGUGACUGCCGGUGACAAACCGGAGGAAGGUGGGGAUGACGUCAAAUCAUCAUGCCCCUUAUGACCUGGGCUACACACGUGCUACAAUGGACAGAACAAAGGGCAGCGAAACCGCGAGGUUAAGCCAAUCCCACAAAUCUGUUCUCAGUUCGGAUCGCAGUCUGCAACUCGACUGCGUGAAGCUGGAAUCGCUAGUAUCGCGAUCAGCUGCGCGUGAUACGUUCCGGCUGUACACA